CGGGAUGUUCAUAACCCUUUGUUGUCCGACUCUGUUGCCUCCGGGGCGACCCUGCCUUCGGGCGGGGGCUCCGGGUGGACACUUCAAACUCUUGCGUAACUUUGCAGUCUGAGUAAACUUAAUUAAUAAAUUAAAACUUUUAACAACGGAUCUCUUGGUUCUGGCAUCGAUGAAGAACGCAGCGAAAUGCGAUAAGUAAUGUGAAUUGCAGAAUUCAGUGAAUCAUCGAAUCUUUGAACGCACAUUGCGCCCCCUGGUAUUCCGGGGGGCAUGCCUGUUCGAGCGUCAUUUCACCACUCAAGCCUCGCUUGGUAUUGGGCAACGCGGUCCGCCGCGUGCCUCAAAUCGACCGGCUGGGUCUUCUGUCCCCUAAGCGUUGUGGAAACUAUUCGCUAAAGGGUGCUCGGGAGGCUACGCCGUAAAACAACCCCAUUUCUAAGGUUGACCUCGGAUCAGGUAGGGAUACCCGCUGAACUUAAGCAUAUC
rnacentral:rRNA from 1 species